GAUGAACGCUGGCGGCGUGCUUAACACAUGCAAGUCGAACGAAGCACUUAAGAUUGAUUCUUCGGAUGACGUCUUUUGUGACUUAGUGGCGGACGGGUGAGUAACGCGUGGGUAACCUGCCUCACACAGGGGGAUAACAGUUAGAAAUGACUGCUAAUACCGCAUAACCCGAUAGGAUCGCAUGAUCCAGACGGAAAAGAUUUAUCGGUGUGAGAUGGACCCGCGUCUGAUUAGCUAGUUGGUGAGGUAACGGCCCACCAAGGCGACGAUCAGUAGCCGGCCUGAGAGGGUGAACGGCCACAUUGGGACUGAGACACGGCCCAAACUCCUACGCGAGGCAGCAGUGGGGAAUAUUGCACAAUGGGGGAAACCCUGAUGCAGCGACGCCGCGUGAGUGAAGAAGUAUUUCGGUAUGUAAAGCUCUAUCAGCAGGGAAGAAAAUGACGGUACCUGACUAAGAAGCCCCGGCUAACUACGUG
rnacentral:rRNA from 1 species